rnacentral:piRNA from 1 species
UACUGUUACCCAACGUUUUUA